rnacentral:rRNA from 1 species
GAUGAACGCUGGCGGCGUGCCUAAUACAUGCAAGUAGAACGCUGAAGGAAGGAGCUUGCUCUUUCCGGAUGAGUUGCGAACGGGUGAGUAACGCGUAGGUAACCUGCCUGGUAGCGGGGGAUAACUAUUGGAAACGAUAGCUAAUACCGCAUAACAGUAGAUGUUGCAUGAUAUCUACUUAAAAGGUGCAAUUGCACCACUACCAGAUGGACCUGCGUUGUAUUAGCUAGUUGGUGAGGUAACGGCUCACCAAGGCGACGAUACAUAGCCGACCUGAGAGGGUGAUCGGCCACACUGGGACUGAGACACGGCCCAGACUCCUACGGGAGGCAGCAGUAGGGAAUCUUCGGCAAUGGACGGAAGGCUGGCCGAGCAACGCCGCGUGAGUGAAGAAGGUUUUCGGAUCGUAAAGCUCUGUUGUAAGAGAAGAACGAGUGUGAGAGUGGAAAGUUCACACUGUGACGGUAUCUUACCAGAAAGGGACGGCUAACUACGUG